UACGGGGGGGGUAAGCGUUGUUCGGAAUUACUGGGCGUAAAGGGCGCGUAGGCGGCCUACUAAGUCAGACGUGAAAUCCCCCGGCUUAACCUGGGAACUGCGUCUGAUACUGGAAGGCUUGAGGAUGGGAGAGGGAUGUAGAAUUCCAGGUGUAGCGGUGAAAUGCGUAGAUAUCUGGAGGAAUACCGGUGGCGAAGGCGGCAUCCUGGACCAUUACUGACGCUGAGGCGCGAAAGCUAGGGGAGCAAACGGG
rnacentral:rRNA from 1 species